ACUAACCCUAAUUCAACCCAUCAGACGUCUCUCAUCUCUCUCGGUACUCUCUCUCUCUCUCUUCUCGUUCUCAGACUGAGUUCUCUCUCUCUCUCUGUUCUUGUGAUUUCAUCUCAAAUCAGAUCAGGGAGCUCUCUCCCUCUCUCUAUUGGUGACAGCAUUUGUUGGUUUCCAUCUCAAAUUAAUCAGAUCACUAGCGGCUUGGUCUCUUGCUCUAUCUCUCUCGGCUGCUCUUGGUAAGGGUAAGAACUCGGAUAGGAAUGAAACGUCAGAUGAAGAUACAAGUCAGGGAUUGGAAUCUAUUAAGCUAGUGGUAUCUCAGUUGAAUGACCUUGCUAUCUCUACACAUUCUACUGUGGUUGCACCUCCUUCAAACUCAACACAAUGUUCAACUCCUUCAGAUCCUGUUCUAGAUAUUGAUAAAAAAAAAAUUAGAGCACUAAAAAAGGUGCAUGUUUUAUAAUUGAAUCAUAUCUUUGUUGCCAUCUUUAUCUUUUUAUUUGUUGGCCACUGAUUGAUGUGUUGUAUAUCAUAUUCAUGGUCUUGGGAUAGAUAAUAUUGGCCCCGUUUGGUAUAGCUGUGAGUACCUUAUACUUGUGAA